GUUGCAAUGGCUGAGCGUUAAAGCGCUUGGCUUAUGAACCGGGGGUCCCGGGUUAAAAUCCUGGUGAAGACG
rnacentral:tRNA from 1 species